rnacentral:rRNA from 1 species
GACGAACGCUGGCGGCGUGCUUAACACAUGCAAGUCGAACGGAAAGGCCCUGCUUUUGUGGGGUGCUCGAGUGGCGAACGGGUGAGUAACCCGUGAGUAACCUGCCCUUGACUUUGGGAUAACUUCAGGAAACUGGGGCUAAUACCGGAUAGGAGCUCCUGCUGCAUGGUGGGGGUUGGAAAGUUUCGGCGGUUGGGGAUGGACUAGCGGCUUAUCAGCUUGGUGGUGGGGUAGUGGCUUACCAAGGCUUUGACGGGUAGCCGGCCUGAGAGGGUGACCGGCCACAUUGGGACUGAGAUACGGCCCAGACUCCUACGGGAGGCAGCGGUGGAGAAUAUUGCACAAUGGGCGGAAGCCUGAUGCAGCAACGCCGCGUGCGGGAUGAGGGCCUUGGGGUUGGAAACCACUUUCGCCUGUGACGAAGCGUGAGUGACGGUAAUGGGUAAAGAAGCACCGGCUAACUACGUG